rnacentral:lncRNA from 1 species
GAAAUUAAAUGUCACAUAGUCUGCUCUGAGAAAAGAGCCAAGUUCAGGGCAGAGACUACCUUCCUGGGUACCCCCCAAGAAGGAGUCUUGAUCACUUCUCUAAACAUGCCCUGGAUGUUCCCAGAGCUCAUGAAAACGCUGCUCUCCAGUGGUGCUAGCAGCUCUGAUGAAGGCUAAGUCCAAGCUCUGAAUUCAGGAGAGCAGAGCUGCCUCCUGCUCCCACCACCGUGGUUCUCAGGCAGUAAUGACAUCUUCUGUAACCAGAAGCACUCCAAGAACAACACUUUCAUUCAUGGACUUAACAACUACAUUAGAUCAUACCAGCCUGUCACUUCAAAGUCACCAGUGUCAAGGAACAUUUCAAAUUGGCUUAAAGCAUUGUUUUGGAGGUGUGAAUAAUGAAGCCAAGGACAUUAGCAACAUCAUGAAAGCAGGCAUCAAGUGAAUAGAGAAGAUUCUAUGGAUGUAGAAGAGGUCCCUGGGUUUCCGAAUUGCCACUGGAUUGCCUCUAUCAAAUACACAAGAGUUUCAUGAAUUUCUCUUCUCUGGCCAUUGACAUGAGUGUGCUUUCUGGAUGCAGUCACAGGGGACCCAAGAUUCUUGGACAGAAUUCUCGCCGGGAGCCAACUCAGCCUGAUCUGCUGGCAUCUCUCAAGUAUCAGAAGUCAACAAAAUGGUUUGCCUUGAAGACUUGGCCAGAGCAGCAGCCAAAGUUCAUAAGGCUUUCGUAGAGAGAUUGUUUGUCUAAGAAAACAAAAUUCUAAGGGCUCCCAUUGUGCAGCUGGGGUGGCAAAAUGCAAACUAAUAUAAGGAAAAAAAAUGCUUUUCAUUUCCAUGGAAGAAAUGACCCAUCCUAUUGUUGAUAUUUCCUUUUCUGUGCUAACUUAUUCCAUUAAUUAGGCUCUCGUUUUAUGAGAUAAUUUCACUGCAUGCGUAUCUUCUUUUGGUUAUUACACAAGGACUGUUUUCUAUGGUUCAUAUCUAAGUCCAACCCUGGAAAAAUCUUUUUUUUUGAGACAGCCUUUUUUGUUUUGUUUUGAGACAAUACUCCCUCUGUUGCCCAGGCUGGAAUGCAGUGGUGAGAUCAUAGCUCACUGCAACUUCUGCCUCCUAGGCUCAAAAAAUCCUCCCACCUCAGCCUCCCAAGUAGCUGGGAUUGCAGGCAUAUGCCAUCACACCCGGCUAAUUUUUGGAUUUUUAGUAAAGUUUUGCCAUGUUGGCCAGGCUGAUCUUGAACUCCUGCCCUCAAGUGAUCUGCCCACCUUGACCUCCCAAAGUGCUGGGAUUACAGGUGUGAGCUACUGUGCUCAGCUCAGCCAUGGAACAAUCUUGAUGUAUAAUUUAUCUGCAGGUAUCUCCAUCUCUAUUUGCCACUCUUAGUAAAUGUUUUAGUUUGACAGUAAACGAGUUGAGACAUUAAUGAUUGAGAGAGCACCUAAGCAGCUCGAAGUGCUGGGAGUCUCUCCUAAAGAAUUAGAUGCACACAGCAUUUUUCCCUUACAGACACUUCACUGAGCAGUCAUGUUGGACUUGGGUGGCGUCUGCUAUUAGACACACUAUUCACCAAUAAAACCCUGAAAAUUGCAUUGCACAGGACUGAUAAAAAUAAGAUGACUUAAGAAACGUAUUUAUGGUAUAUAUACACAGAAAAAGAAUGAAAGUUUGAGGGGGUAUUGCCUCUGGGAGGAAGAGUUAUGAGUAGUUUGUAUUUCCUUUUUUGUUAAUCUGUAUUUCAUUUUUUAGGCAAUGCAAAUAUAUUAUUUAGACAACAAAAUACUUAUUAGAAAGAAAAGACAUGGUGGGUUUUUUCCCCUUUAUUCUUUGCUUUUCUAAGAGGAAACUUUGACUGCAAUUGCUUGUGAGUGAUACCUGUGUUCUGGUAGCUUAGGAAGACACAAUGUGGUUAGGGAAGGAUAAGAACAGAUGGCUUUAAUAAAUGUACUCAAGGCUAAUGUACCCUUCAUAGUCUCAGGCUUCAGAUCAGAUCUCUUAUCUAUGCUGGCACCAGGAUGUGGUUUUGAGUUCUCUGCUUUUUCUACAGCUUUAGGGAAAUCUGCAUGCAGGCACAUCUAAUUGUCCAAACCAAAAAUCACAUCCAGGAUGUGAGGCAGCCUGGGAGAGGUCAUUUUGAGUUCUGUAGUCUCCGAAGUAUAAAAACACAUAAACAUGUAUACAUACACACAUUAACACCCACACACUUUUGAAGGAAGAUGGAAUGGAAGACAAGCACCACAGUGAAACUUUAGAAGAAUUUCCCUUACAUUCAGGAAAAAAAGAUAGAGGGUCCAUUUUCAUCACUCUUAUUGCCAUUGUCUAGAAGAUAAGCCGUAAUAAGAUAAAAUAAAAAGUGUAUAGAACACUUGGAAAAAAAUAUAAAAGAUUGGUCCCAUUCUCCGAUGGCAUGAUAUUCAAAUGAAGAACCAACUAUAAACAGGUUGUUAUGAGCUGAAUGUUAAUGUGACCCCAAAAUUCAUAUGCUGAAAUCUUAACCCCAAAGGUGAUAGUGUUAGAUGGUGAGGCUUUUAGGAGUUGACACAGUGUAAUGCCUCUUCUAUGAAGAAGUGGGCCUUUGUCAGUUACCAAAUCUGCAGAGGCCUUGAUCUUGAACUUCCCAGCCUCCAGAGCUUGGAGGAAUGAAUGUUUAUUGUUUGUAAACCACCCAGUUUAUGGUAUUUUAUUAGAGCUGCUCAAAGGGUCUAAGACACAAGUAUAAGUCAUAAGUAAAUGCAUCAAAUUUGCUGAAUAUAAAUCAACAUAUAAAAAAUCAACAGCAUGCUUGGAUCCCUGGUAUGAAUCACAUCUGGUCAUGGCAAAUAAUCUAAAAAAAAAUAAUAAAAUAAUCAAUUUAAAAAAUUUAAAAAGCAACAGUAUUUACUAUUCAUUGCCAAUGACCAAUUAGAAAAUGGCAUAAACAUGACAUCUGUGAUAAGACAAAUACUCUAAGGUAACUAGAACUACAAGUAAUAAAAGAUGUGUACAGUUUACAGAGACGAUUGUAGAAAGCCAAAAAAAAUUAAAAGUGAAAACCUAAAUGGGAAGAAGCAUCAUGUAUAUUGGGUCAUAGUAGAUAUCAUAAUAUAAAUUAUAAAAUACAGAACAAAAUGAUAUAAAAUACUAAAUUUCAAAAUGUGUUGGAUAUAGCUAAAGCAGCACUAAAGAGGAAUUUAUAGGUUUAAAUACACGUAUUGGGGGAGGAAAGAGAUAAAGUUUGAUAUGGCGGUAAGCAUCCACUUAGGGAAAAGUACAAAAAGAAAAUAAUAGUAGAAAGUAAUAAAAUAGAAAAUAUAAAAGAGGUUUUUUAAAAAAUACUUACAAAAUGGACAGUCUUUAUGGGGAUUGAACAAGAACAAAGAAAGAAGGCACUGAUAACCAAUGUCAAGGAUAUGGAAGUGGAUAUGUGGAUAUAACUAAAAUGCUGCAGUUAUUCGAGAUAAGAGUAUUAUAAGUAACUGUAAGAUAACACAUUUAAAAACUUGGUCGAAAUGGUCAAAUUUGUAGAAAAGUAUAUCUCAACAAAACUGAUUCAAGAAAAAUAACCCAUUAAAAAAUAAAUCAGCAGUUACCUUUUAUUUAUUUAUUUUUGACAAGAAAAUAUCAAAUGGUUUUACUGGCAAGAUCUGCCAAAUAUUCAAGAAACAAGUAAUUUCAAUUUUGGACAGAAUUUUCCAGAGAAGAGAAAAUGGGAAGAGGGUUGUUCCUCAUUUUAUGAAGCUAGUAUACACAUCAGUGCCAACAUUUGACAAGGGAAGUUUGAAAAAGGAAAAUCACCGACUAAUCUCUCCCAUGAGCAGAGACUUAAAAAAUUCUAAACAAAAUAUUUGCCAACCAAAUCCGAAUAUAGAAAGGAUUGUACACCAUGAUCAAGUUGAGCUCAUCCUAGGAAUGUUUCCUUUAUGGUAACAUUCGGGAAAGCAAAAUACAUGGGUGCACAUGCAAGAGGUAGGAGAUUGAGACUGGGAGUCUGUAGAACUUCUGAUUUCAUCCAUUUUUUGCAAGUGAAUUAGAUUUUCUUUAAAAAGGUUAUUGGGUGAAGGCGCAGAUAGAGGAGCAGGUCUUGGAGAUUUAAGGGGAAAGGAAGUAUGAUACAGUCUUCUAGAAGACUGGAAGAGUAAAUGGAAUAUAGCGUGAUUGCAUUGGGGCUCCUCUGAGCUUUAUGGGCAUGAAUUUAAAGAUUAUUUGAGGCCCUGGUUUGUGCAGUAAGAAAAAUUUUGUUUAGGGAUUAGGAAGGAAGAAAUAAAACUAAAAAUCUCCCAUUAUUCACAGAUGACAUGAUGAUUCUUAUAGAAAACCCAAAAGAUAUUACUACAUCAAUAUAGAAAACUCAAUUACAUUUCUUUAUUUUUCUUUUUCUUUUCUUUUUUUUUUUUUUUUGCUUUAAGUUCUAGGAUACAUGUGCAGAACGUGCGGGUUUGUUACAUAGGUAUACAUGUGCCACGGUGGUUUCCUGCACCUAUCAACCCGUCAUCUAGGUUUUAAGCCCAGAAUGCAUUAGGUAUUUGUCCUAAAACUCUCCCUCCCCUUCCCCUACUCCCCCCAACAGGCCCUGGUAUGUGAUGUUACCCUCCCUGUGUCCCUGUGUUCUCAAUGUUCAACUCCUACUUAUGAGUGAGAACAUGCGGUGUUUGGUUUUCUGUUUCUGUGUUAGUUUGCUGAGGAUGAUGGUUUCCAGCUUCAGCCAUGUCGCUGCAAAGGACAUUAACUCAUUCGUUUUUCUGGCUGCAUAGUAUUCCAUGGUGUGUAGGCGCCACGUUUUCUUUAUCCAGUCUGUCAUUGAUGGGCAUUUGGGUUGGUUCCAAGUCUUUGCUAUUGCAAAUAGUGCUGCAAUAAACAUAUGUGUGCAUGUGUCUUUAUAGAAUGAUUUAUAAUGCUUUGGGUAUAUACCCAGUAAUGGGAUUGCUGGGUCAAAUGGUAUUUCUGGUUCUAGAUCCUUGAGGAAUCACCACACUUUCUUCCAUAAUGGUUGAACGAAUUUACACUCCCACCAACCAUGUAAAAGCAUUCCUAUUUCUCCAUGUCCUCACCAGCAUCUGUUGUUUCCAGACUUUUAAAUGAUCAUCAUUCUUACUGGCAUGAUAUGGUAUCUCAUUGUGAUUUUGAUUUGCAUUCCUCUAAUGGCCAGUGAUGAGUUUUUCUUAUGUUUUCUGGCCGCAUAAAUGUCUUCUUUUGAGAAGUGUCUGUUCAUAUCAUUCACCCACUUUUUAAUGGUUUUUUUCUUGUAAAUUUAAGUUCCUUGUAGAUUCUGGAUAUUAGACCUUUGUCAGAUGGAUAGAUCGCAAAAAUUUUCUCCAAUUCUGUAGGUUGCGUGUUCACUCUGAUGAUAGUUUCUUUUGCUGCGCAGAAGCUCUUCAGUUUAAUUAGAUCCCAUGUGCCAAUUUUGGCAUUUUUUGAAAAUGCUUUUGGUGUUUUAGUCAUGAAGUCUUUGCCCAUGCCUAUGUCCUGAAUGGUAUUGCCUAGGUUUUCUUCUAGGGUUUUUAUGGUUUUAGGUUUUAUGUUUAAGUGUAAGGAGGGAUACAUUUAAGCCAAAAAGGACAGUCUACAUCUCUGCUUAUUGUCCCAAGGCAGCAGAAAUACAAUUCAUAGAUCCCAACACUUAGCCUUCCCCACCCUAGUCACACAGCAUCCCUCAGCCUGCCAAGGGAAUUGGUUCUGCAGACACGAGGGAUUUGCCCGGGGAUAAAGACCCCUUCUGGUUCAGACAUCAGGAGAUACAAAUGCAAUACACCACAGCUGACACAACUGGACAUCUUCAGUGUUGCAGUCUCACCCUAUCUCUCUGCUUGCCAGCUCCAGCUCAUCGGGCCAGUUAUGAGAAGGAAAACAUAUUUUCUAAAAGCUUUCUUAAGUGUUCACAUGGCCAGCUGCCCUUGUUUGUUCUCCUGAGUACUGAGGUCACUGGAAGCCACAAAACCCAGCUGGGACCACUUCAAUGAGUUAUGCUCCAGGGAAAAUUAUGGUGUGAAAAGGUAAAAGGAAAUUUUGGAAACUGGUGGAAUCUUCAUGGAAGUGUCACCCUGGGCUAAUACCAAGGAUCUGACAUAGACAAAAGUAUGAAUUACUCUGCAGGCUCAGCGCCAAGGGCAAGGUCGUAAGAGCCUGAGAUGGUCUUAACAAAUUAAGUGAGGCAGGCAAAGUUCAGUUGCUUACUGUGAGCUGGACCCUUCUACAUUAUUAUUUUUAUCAUGGAGUCCAAUGUCCCCAUGUUGAUCCUAACAAGCCAAGUCCCACAUUGCAUCAUCCCACAUGGGCCGGCCUUCUCUGGGCAAAACUUCAAGAUGUGAAACUCCUUUUUUCUCCUCUCAAAAUGUGCCAGUCCUGAGUCUCCUGUAUUGGGUUCAUUAAUGUUAACAUACUUUUUCUGGUCUGCUACAAUGAUCCAGGCACUGCACUAUAGUCCAAAGGCACAAAACAAUAAAUUAGACUUGCCCCUUGUUCUCAGGACUGAAAAUGGUUCCAUUCACCAAAAAAACAGGUGAAAGUUUACCCAGCACCUAAACCUGUACUAAUGUAUUAAUUAAUGCAUCACAGUUUAUUUAUUCUACACUUAUUUUACUUGCCCCUGUAAUAUACCACUAGAUGCUUCAGUAUGGGAGAUAUUGAACUCUAAAGUUCUAAGGGUGCUGUGGUGGAGAUAUGGACAUAUCUCAAAAUUAGCAGGAAAUUUAAAUAGCGAUUUUAAGAGAAAGUAAGAUCUGGUUAUGAGAAAGGAUGAAGCUACUCUGGGUGAGAGAAAACUGAGAACUAUGCCCUAGGAAUAUCCAACAUUUAAAGUGUAAACAAAGAAAGUAAAGACAGAGAUGACAACUGAGAAAGAGUGGUAGUCACAGGAGACUCAAGUGAGUGUAGCUGGAAGAUGUCAUCAGAACCCUAGUUAAUAACAUGUGGUCUACCAUUGCUACAAUACAAUGCCCUCCAGCCAUCUCAGGCAGGUGGGCCUUUACUUUCCUCAAAUUACAUUCACAGAUGAACAACCCAUGCUCUAUGAAGGAGUCGGGCCUGCAUACUAUCCUUCCCAAUGAGGGAGAUGUGACAGUUCAGGAUUCAGGAAAGGACCAAAUGGACUCACCAGGCAAGUGUGCUUUAGGAUGGAGGGCAGGGUUGGCUCUGUGCCAGGAGUGUAGAUUUCAUCUGUUGGCUGCAAAUGUGUGCCAGUUCCCAAUGGAAUGCUACUGUUCUCUGACCUGCCCUCAACUCAUAACACAAGUCACAAUUCACUGGAGUUUCACAGUACGUUUCUGUGGAUGUUUGGAAUCAGAAAUGCAGACUCACAGAAUAGCUGUAUAGGAUUUAAAGAGAAUCGGCAGAGUUCAGGCUGCUCAUUUUACAGAGGAGGAGGCUGAGUCUGAAGACUUACUAAUUUGGCCAGGGUUGCAUGGCAGUUUAGCAGAGUAGUUAAACAAAUGGGCUUGAAACUCAAAGAGUCCCUGAGAAUCUUAAAUUGUGUGCCUUAGGCAAGUCUGCUAAAACUGCUAUGUCUCAGUUAACUCCUCUUAAAACUGAGUAAGAAUAACAUAUAUAUAUAUAUAUCAUAUAUUAUGAUACAUGAUAUAUACAUAAUUCAUGUAUUAUAUCAUGAUACAUGAUAUAUAUGUAUUAUUCAUGUAUAUGAUACAUGAUACAUAUAUCAUGUAACCUAUGAUAUAUAUCAUAUAUGAAGAUUAUAUAUAUAUCUCAGAGGUUAUUUGUAAGAGAUGAGAUAGUGAAUUCAAAGCACUUAGCAUGACAGCUAGCAUAUGGUGACACAGCUAUCAUGCAAAGCCAAGUCUUCUGACUCGUACUUUAGUGCUCUUUCCUCUGAACCAUGAUCCCUCCUUUAAAUAGAGAAGUUAAAAAUGAACUUACAGAGACAUUCUAUGUGUACCAACCCAACACUAUAGCACUUGAUUUAUGCAUUCAUUUUUAUAACAACUAUCAUUUGAGCAUCUAUGUACCAGGGUGCUGAUGUAACCAUGCUGAGUGCUGAGGUACUCAUGCUGAAUCAGAUGUGAUCUCUUCCCACUAAGGAGAGAGAAGAUUGUGCCUAUGGUAGCCAGGAAUGAGGUGCACUUGCAAGGAGUAGGGAGGAGUGGGGAGAGUCUAGAGGCAAGGAGAUGAGAUAGAAAGUUCUUGCCCUAAUUUAGGCAAGAGGCAGCAGGGUCCUGAAUUACCUUGGAGAAAAUGGAAAUUAGGGGAAAGGACAAAGAAAUGAGGUAGGAACAUGAGACUUACCCUUGACACAUGAUUAUUAUGUUUAUGAAAUAUUUGUUUUUGUGUUUCUGACAAGCAAUUUGCCUCCAGAAUUGCCAAAUGAGUCUGGUUGUUACUCCAGACUCAAGGUAACAUCUGCUUAUUGCUAGUGCAUAGACCAGGGCAGGUGAUGGGCUUUAGGCCUCUUAUCUAGCGUCUUACACAAAAUUGCAAGUAGACCCAGAAUUACUAGUGCCAGGGCUGCAGAAAUAGGAACUGUUUAGCCAGGUCUAUGACCAUCUGUUUUCCCUCCUGCCAAAUGCAUCGAGGGCAUGAUAGAUCUGGCUUAGAUGGUAACAAAGUGAGAGCAGAGUUGAGCAAAUAGACAAAUGUUUAUCUUUUGCAGGAAUGUGCACUUGGCUCUGGGGAUUGUAGCUGUCCAUCAGCAUCCACACUGGAUGAAACUGCUGAAGGAAGGGGCUCCGAAAACACCCACUUUCCUCAGCCUCUGCGGCCUUAACUCCAUGUGCCAGCAGGUCAGGCUAACAGGCUGUGGUGCUAAAGGCAUCAGGCAGACAUAUCUACUGGCCCAUUAAGAUUCUGUACCUAAACACUACCCACCCCGCCCACCCUGCCCCAGUGAUGGCCCUGCCUUUCCUGCCAGGCCUGCUCUCCUCCCCAAGAAAGGGAAAAUGGUUAGCAACUUUCAGAAACUAAAACAAACACAAAAGUUUGCCAACAUUAAACUCUGCUUCACAGCUAAAUGGACCAUAAACUUUCAGCACCUUGAACAAAACUUCAAUUCAAUCCCUUCUACAGGUGCUGUGGGCACAAAGACUGCACAGUGUAUUUUUGCCCUGGGAAAGAGUCUCAAAUUAUUAUUUUUGUAAAAAAAAAAAAAAAAAGAAAAGAAAAAGUUGCCUGGAAAAAAGUUUCAUUUUGUGCUUAGAAAAACAAGCCAAGAGGCAACGCACACCCCCUUUCUCUCCAUUCUCACUUCCCUGCACUCUCACGAGAAGAUUCCAGCCCACCUUGAAACCCAGCAUGGAUACUAGAGAAGACAUCUUUUUCUCCAGUUUUCAAAUAAGCCUCCAGGAUGAGGCACACGCAGACCUUUCCUGCUAGCCUGUAAUUCACCACCUUCUAAAAGGACCAGGUCAUGAUACAAAUGAAAGCAAUGAAAAGCACAGGCCUGCAUGCCCAAGGUCUGAGUCUUGCUCCCUGUCAUCUUCGGUGUGACCUUAGCGUGUCACUUGACCUCUCAGGUCUCACAUUUAGCAUCCAGACAACUCAGGACUUAAGUUCUCUUACAGCUCUAAAAUUCUGUAUGGGAAUGACAUCAAUAAAGUAAUAUAAUUUUUUGUUCAAACCAGCAAAGAUGUGCAAAUACAAGGGGUAGUGAAUAGCAAUUAUGCCUGGCAUCCAGCAGAACUGUGCUGGGAACCAAGACCUGUGGUUCUGAGGGCUGUCCAGAGAGCGCCACGGCCAUUCGCGUGCUAAACCUUUGCAACCUGAGCCCAGUAACAGGAACACAGAACAUUCUCCAGGAGUCUGGGGCCUUGCCUCCAUUCUCCAGCUGCUCCUCUCCCAUUGUUUUCCCUCUCUACACGACUGCCCUUUCUUGGGCUCCCCAUGCUCUAAGUUAAGUUGGCAGCAUGGCAGAGAUUGAGAGCACAGAUUCUGGUCUCAGACUGCAUGGGCUCAAAUUACAGCUUCAUAAUUUACCACAUGAUCUUGGGCAAGUUACUUAAACUCAAAGAUAGACUUUUCAAACAUUUUUUCACUGCAAUCCACAGUAAGAAAUAUAUUUAACAUAAAUAAUACUCUACGUGUGUGCACACACACACACAUACUCACAUAAAUUAAAAGAUUAAUAAAAAAUAAUUAUUUUUGAUAUUUUGUGAGCACCAUUUGAUUGGUCCUAUUCUAUGUAAAUUUCUAUAAAUGCUAGUCAUAAUCCAGCAAAUUGAUUUCAUGGUCUACUAAUGGUUUCAGACCCACAAUUUGAAAAACCCUGUUCUAAGCUUUAGUUUUCUCAUCUGUAAAAUGAAGAUAAUAUAAAUAAUAUCCUCUCUGUGGAGUUGUUAUGAAGAUGACUAAAAUGUUCAUAUAAAAGCGUUUGGCCACAGUGCAGGGUGGCUCACGCCUGUAAUCCCAGCACUUCGGGAAGUCAAGGCAGGCAGAUCACAUGAGGCCAGUAGCUCAAGACCAGCCUAGUCAACAUGUUGAAACCCUGUCUCUACAAAAAGUACAAAAAUUAGCCCAGCAUGGUGGUGCACACCUGUAGUCCCAGCUACUCAGGAGGCUGAGGCAGGAGAAUCACUUGAACCCGGGAGGUGGAGGUUGCAGUGAGCCAAGAUGGCACCACUGCAUUCCAUCCUGGGCAACAGAGUGAGACUCUGUGUCAAAAACAAACAAACAAACAAACAAAAGGUUUAGCUUGGAAGGUAAUAAGUGCUCAGUGAAUAUUAGUGUUAUUAUUACUCAAGGAAGGGCAUCAGUGUGAAAUAAAUCUUAUACUUCAAGUCCAAAAGGGAAGCUCCCAGUAAUCAUGCCCUUCAUGAACCUGUACAUGAAUCAAAUGGCUUUUCCCAUUGGGCAUGCAUGCCAUGCCAUCAAGCAAGUCAGAAUUUAAGCUUCUGUGCAGGUCAGUGAAGACAUGGUGCUUGCCACUGCAGCAGCAGCCAUCUUGCACACAUGAGGUGCCACACCUGAGGAAGGAAGAACAAAGCAAUGGAAAGACCAGUGUUUUGGUAUUACUGAGUUGCUGAACCAAUCCUGGAACUGGAUCUCAGGCUUUUUAUUUAAAUCAAUAAAAUCUCCUGAUGUUUAAAAGGCAAUUUUAUGCAAACCAGCUCAUUACCUCCUACAGUGUCCCUUCCCUCACCAACAGGAAGUGGCUCCACAUUUCAAUUGCCUUUUUGCCCUUGAGAAUCAGCAUUCCCUAAACCACCACUAUUAAAUUUGGGACUCUGAAACCACAGAAAUACCCUACAGUAGGAAAUCCCCCUUGGGUGCCUAGACUCUCUAUCACCUUUGCAAAGCUUUUAAGUAAAAAAGGAAAACCUCAGGCUUCCCACUUAGCCAUGGAAAGUGGUACCACCUUCAGAGGAAAGAUGGGGGAUUCAGGAGCACCACCUCCAAUUUUAGGAGGUGCCCCUGAUUUCCUCAAAUACUGACAGGUAAUUUAACCUAAACAAUGGAGAGGAGCCCUGCUUCAAGAUGCAGUGCUAGGCUCACCCUGACCAGCACUUGGUAGAUAAGAAAGAGAAAACAACUUACAAAUUCUUCAGUGAUGCUUGGCUCAGUACUUAGCUCGCUGGCUGGCUGACUUUGCAACUACUUCUAGUUAAGGGUUCCAAAGGACUGGAAGGUAAAUAACCAGCAAGGUGUCGUAACACUGAGACAGAGUGAAAUAUUAUUUCCACCCUCUCGUGACCUCGGUGGCCAUUUUCCAGCUCUAGGGCCAGUCUGCACAUGACGAUGAGUGGUAUCUGAUGGCUGGUCCUGGCAUGAAGUGUGAGGGAAUGCCAGUUUAGGACUUGAACCUUCCAUCUCCCACUGAUUCCAGUCAGAGUAAUCCAAACCUAGUCUGUCUUUUCUUUCCCUUAUGCUGCAAACUUUCCCCUGUUUUAGUCAAAAUACACCAGCUUAGUAAUUCUGGCUGCCACAGACUGAAUUUUGAGCCUCACCAGUUUCCAAAUAAUUAAGACAGAGAAAGUGAGUUAAAUAAAAUAUGGCCAGAUUAAAUAAACAAUUCGGUACUUUAGGAGAAGAAUUCAGGCUGGGUCUAAGAUAGGCGCCUAGCGCAGGGCUCUGCAGCAGACAUAAGGAAGUCUUAAGUUGGUUUUCAAUAGGUGUACCUAAGGGUGCAUUUGAUAACAACAACAAAAAGAGAGAUGGAAGCAAAUAUUUAACAAGCACCUAUUAUCUAUCAGGCACUACAUAUACAUUCUCUCAUUUUCUUCUUACAAAGUACACGUAUCCUAGCAAUUAUUUCCAUUUUAAAAAACUGAAAAUGAAAAAUUACUUGCUCAAGAUCAUAAAGCAAGUAAACAUUAGAAUUAGGAUUUAACCCUAGGCCCUUCUUGUGCAGGAGUCAUGCUCUUUCAAGCACACUGUGCUGUCCCCCGGGAAGAGUGAGGGUUAUCAGGAAAAGCAGUGGAAUGGCAGAAAAGAAGAAGGGGAAGGAUUUUAAAACAGGGAAAAGAAAGGACAGAAAUACAUAAAAAUAAGAAAUGGGAACAGGAAGGACUGCAAAGAUUAAGGAAGAACGGUUGGUGAGUACCUUGGCUAUUUAGUGGAAUUUGGUGAUUCAGAACUGGGAAUGGACAGUAAGCCCCUUCAAAUACCCUGGGGAAGCCAAGAUUGUCAUGGAGCUGUUCUUUUCUCUAUCUCAAGUACAAAUGUCUCAAAGAACUCUAAAAGCUACUUAAAGCAAGAGCAAGGAACUCAAACUAAGUUCUUAUUGAGUGGUGGCCAAAAAACAAGCUGGACGAGUUUCCAGAUGAUACUGCCGGGAUGAUUCUUUUAGCUGACAGUUACCAAAAAGGAAGGCUUUCAGGACAUGUCAAUAGCAGAUCUUACGCCUUCUCUGACCUCGGCCUUCCUCAGAGUCUUUUAGCUGUAAUGAGCAAAUAUUAGCAUAAGAGACAGGGACCAAAUAUUUGUUUAGUGUCUGUGUUGAUUAUUAAGCUGUUGCCUGUAAACUCCACACUCACCCUUCAUUCUCAGCUUUGUGUUGCUGGGGCUGGGCCUCUGUAAUCACAUUUCAGCUUUGCCAGAGGGAUUUCUCUUAGGCUGCCAGUAGUGGGGCACUAGAGGGAGUCUGGAGGCAGUGGGGAAGAAGGGAUUUGUUCCUUCUGUUUUUUUGCUGGUCCUGUCAGUAUCAUCCCAGCAGCCCUUAGCUCCAGUUUGCAGUUAUUUUCCUCACUACAAGAACACACUCCCUCAGUGAUAGCGUCUGUCAACCAGAACCUCCUCCCCAGAUAUUGAGUCCCUGUUUUGAGGGUCCCUGCUCUGAGUCUCCAACGCACCUGCCUCCACCAGGCAGCACCCCUCCCUCCUGGUCCAGUUUCCAGCUCUGCAGGGCCCUCCUCCAAGCUUCCAGAUCCCAGGCACCUGACGCAUCCCUUUUGUUCUCUCAGCCCUAGGGGUAGCGAUUGCUUCCUGCAGUUGCUAGCUCCGUGACCCUCCAGUGGUCCUCCUCCUCACUUUCAGUGCUUCAAUUCCUUAUAUUAAGUAUUCUUUAUUAGGAAAACUGAUGGGUGUCUGUUUUCUGGACUGGCCUUUACCUGAUUUGUUAUCACUUCUGUCUACGUCCAGGACAAUAUUGAGCAAUAUUCUGAGGCUAUACUGUGUUAAAAGGAAACUUCAGACAAAUUAAAUUUAACAGAGUUUAACUGAGCAAGAAAAAAAAAUUCAUAAAUUGGGCAGCCUCCAGAAUCACAACAGAUUCAGAGAGAGUCCAGGGAUGCCUUAUGGUCAGAACAAAUUUAUAGACAACAAAAGGGAAGUGACGUGCAGAAAUCAGAAGUGAGGUACAGAAACAGCUGGACUGAUUACAGCUCAACAUUUGCCUUUUUUGAACAAAUCUGAACACUCAGCAGUGUAUGAGUGGUUGACGUAUGGCUGCUGUGAUUGGCCAGACCUCAGCUAUUGUUACAGGCACAUACUCUUAAGUCAGGUUUUCAAUCCUAUCUGACUAUAAAGUUAGGUUACAGUUUGUCCUCAUGGACUCAAAUUUAGAAGUAUGGCGUCCUUCUCAGGCCAUAUUUAGUUCAGUUUAACAAGUGCAUAUGGCUUCUGACAAAGGUGUGGCCCCUUUAGGACUCCAAAGACGCUGUCACUUACAUGGUAUUCAGGGAGGACACAGAGGAUCUGUGAGCAGCCUGCAGCCAAGCUUUGAGAUCAUAUUGAGAUUUUUUUGUAAUAUAUGAGGAGUGUUCUGGCUCCUUUUAUUACUUUCUUCAUAGCAAAAAUUGGGGGUCCAAGUUGUCGUUAAAUUGAAACUCUCUCACUUACCCUGAAAAAGAUUUGACUGUGAGCAUAACAUUGUUACUUCAUUCAAGACAUGGAAGCAAAAGGGUUAAUUAGUGCUGCUCACAAAAUAGUUCUACUUUUUCUUCUUCCAAUUAUAUGAUUGGAUAACCCUUCCCUCCCUUGAAGUCAGGGUUGCCAUGUGGCUUACUUUGGUCAAUAGAAUAUGAUUGAGAGCAAUACUGUGGUACAUCCAUACAGUGGAAUAUUAUCCAGUGAUAAAAAAAAAAAAAAAAAGGAAAGAAAGAAAGCCACAAAAAGACAUGGAAGAGAGCCAAGCGCAGCGGCUCAUGCAUGUAAUCCCAGCACUUUGCGAGGCUGAAGUGAGUGGAUCACUUGAGCUCAGGAGUUCAAGACCAGCCUGAGCAACAUGGCAAAACCCCAUCUCUAAAAAAAAAUACAAAAAAAUUUUAGCUCAGUGUGACUCUGUGUGCCUGUAGUCCCAGCUACUGGGGAGGCUAAGGUGGAAGGAUCACUUGAGCUCAGGAGGUCAAGGCUGCACAAAGCUGCAAUGAGCAGAAAUCAUGCUUGGGCAACAGAGAGAGACCCUGUCUCAAAAUAUGUUAAUGAGAGAGAACUCUGGGCAAGGGGGUGGAGGGGCAGAGGAGGAGUGUGGGGAAGGGGAAGGAGUGCAUACCUGGAAACUCUACUUUCUGCAUAAUUUUUCUAUAAACCUGAAAUUGCUCUAAAAAGUAAAGUCUAUUUAAAAAUAAUAAAUAAGAAAGAAAUAUGAAUAUCACUUGUGUCACUUUUGUGUCAAAGCAUUAACGGCCAGCACAUGAUUUGCCUUGCCACUCCCUUCCUCUUGGUCUGUAGUCCAAUGCUCUACCUCUGAGCUAUACCCCUUCCUUGCCACUCCCUUCCUAAAGAUAAGCCUCCCUCAUUGGAUUAGAAUUCUCCGGAGAGACAGAGACAAUAAGAUAUAUAUAGAGAGAGAUGGAGAGAUAGAGAUAGGAAUUAUCACAGGAUUAUGGAGGCUGAGAAGUCCCGCAAUAAGCCAUCUAUAAGCUAGAGAACCAGGGAAGCCAGUAAUAUGAGUCAGUCUAAGCCUUAAGGCUUCAAAACCAGAGAUGUCAAUAGCAUAACUUUCACCACAAGACUGAAGGUCACAAGGCUGAAUGCCUGAGAAACUGGGGGGUCACUAAUCCAAGCCCCAGAUUCGAAAGGCUGGAUAGAGAACCUGGGGUUCUGAUGUCCAAGGGCAGGAGAAUAAGGGUGUCCCAGCUCCAGAAGGGAGUGAGCAAAUUCACCUUUCCUCUGGCUUUUUGUUCUAGUAGGACCUGAGCCAUAUGGACGAUGCCUGUCCACAUUGGGUGAGGCCACAUCUUCCUCACUCAGUCCACUGAUUCAAAUGCCAAUCUCUUUUGGAAACACCCUUAUAGACAUGCCCAGAAGUAAUGCUUUAUCAGCUAUCUGGGUACCACUUAAUCUGGUCAAGUUGACACCUAAAAUUAAUUAUCAUCACAACUCAUUCUGGUUCUGUUAGUGAGAAUAAUCAAGAAUGCAUCCCUAGCUCGUCACUUCCAAUGAGCCAGUCUUCAGUGGACAUGCACCCUGAGUGGAAAAAAAGUAAAAACUGUUUCUAUUGUUGUUUUAAACAACUUAGAUUCAGAGAUUAUUUGUUAUUGCAGGAUAACCUAGCUUAUCCUGACUAAUACAGAGAGAGGAAGUCCUCCUUUAAUCUCCAACAGAAAUAUUAAACAGCAAUCAAUCACACAAUAUUGGUUAAAAAAACAAAGAUAAUAAUCAUUGUUAUUAUUUUCAUUAUUUCUGGAAAUAAAUUUAAAACUAUUGAAAAAACUUACUUUUAAAAUUCUCAACAUCACUAAUCAUCCAGGAAAUGCAAAUCAAAACCACAAUGAGAUGUCAUCUCACCUCAGUUAAAGUGGCUAUUAUCAAAAAGACAGAACAUAGCAGUUGCUGAUGAGGAUACAGAGAAGGGGAAGUUCUCCUACACUGUUCAUGGGAAUGUAGAUUAGUAUGGAAGUCCAUCAGAAAACUAAAAAUAGAACUACCAUAUGAUCCAGCAAUCCUACUGCUAGGGAUGUAACCAAAAGAAAGGCAAUCAGCAUAUAAAAGAGAUAUCUGCACCUCUUUGUUUAUUGCAGCACUAUUCACAAUAGCCAGAUUAUAGAAUCAACAUAUGUGCCCAUCAACAGAUGA